AUUAUAUUUAAAAAUGCGAAGUUUUACAAUCAUUAUCUUAGAGGAUCAAUAAUUUUGUUUAUUUAUUUUUCGAAAAGUUUGAGAAUAAUCAGAUCUCUUACCAAAUUCAAAAGGCAAGACAUUAGCGGUAGGUGCUUUGCAAUUUUUAUUUCAGUUUUCAUUCAUUUGCUCAAUACAUAGUUUGAGGCGUAUUAUGAUAGAUAGCCGCAUAUAUUACAUAUGAUGAAGAUGGAUUUCAAAUACUUGGAGCUUACAUACAAAAUCAAACGUCUUUGAUACAUAUACUUAUUUUUACUACAGUGUUAUACAGUUAUAUUAUAAAAUAAACCACUGCAACAGAGUAAAGUGCGUUUCAUCAAUUUACCAAUCAAGUUCGAAAAUACAGGGUUGAGAUUGAUAAAGUGUUGCCCAGUCAUGUGUAUUUUUUGAUAUUGUAAGAUCAUUGGUAAUCUCUGUCAAAUUUAGUCUAUAUAUUUUUUCUACACAGUCAUACAUUACGUUGAAUUGUCUUCAAGAUAAGUAAAGUUAUGCUGAUCACAUCAAUUAUGUAAGAAUUUCCUUCUUUUAUAUCAAGAUAUGAUAUAACAUCAACAUAUGGAUAUUAAUUUGGAUAAAACUGAUAACAUUGAGAAUGGAAAUUGGGAAUGUGUCAAAGAGACAACAACCCGACCAAAUAAAAAACAACAGCAGAGGGUCACCAACAGAUCUUCAAUGUAGCGAGAAAUUCCCGCACCCGGAGGCGUCCUUCAGCUGGCCCCUAAACAAAUAUAUACUAGUCCAGUGAUAAUGAACGCCAUACUAAUUUCCAAUUGUACACAAGAAACUAAAAAUUAAAAUAAUACAAGACUAAACAAAGGCCAGAGGCUCCUGAUUUCGGACAGGCGCAAAAAUCGCGGGGUUAAACAUGUUUGUGAGAUCUCAACCCUCCCCCUAUACCUCUAACCAAUGUAGAAAAGUAAACGCAUAACAAUACACAUAUUUGGAUAAAACUGACUCAUUUUCUUUUGCGUUCGUGUAACAUUAUAAAAACAAUUUAGUUUAUGUAUUUUUUUUUUUAUUUCGACUAAUCAUUUAUUUAAACAGUUUUGCCACAGACACGGAAAAAGGAAAAUGAAAUAUAUCAUAAUUGUUGCAGUAAUGUGUCUCAUUAUCAACGGUGAGUUAUUAAAGUUAGUAAACCGGGUUAGUCUUCAAAAUGUAUCCGUAUUGAUUCCAUAUUUUCUGACAUCUUGUAAUAACACACUUAAGACUUUUUCCCACUAUUUCAAGUGUAUUGUUAAAAUUUGUAAAAUAUCAACGUAUCUGCAUAUCCAUCUUGUUGUUGCAUUAUUGUAGAAUUGGUCCCCAAAAAGAGUCCUUUUUAAAAGUGUCUUUAAAUUAAAAAUCAUUUCUAAUAAACGGAGACACCAUUUAUUAUGUUCGUGUAUUAAAAAGAAGGGUUAUCUUUUGUAUAAGCUUAUCUUUUUCUAUUUACAGAGAGUCAUGAGCAUUUAUCAGCUGUCAUAAUUUUUUUAUAAUAGAGGGUUAAAUGUAAUCAUAUAUAUAUGGGCUUGUCCCGACAUUUUAUUUCUGAAAAUGGGAUUAGUUGUGCUUUCAUCAAAAGUUUGACAGUCAGUAUUCUUGAUGUUUAUGUUUCAAAUGAUCCAUUGCAUGAUAAUUACAGAUAUAUAAUGGUUUAUUUUAAUAAAUUAUGACUUUGAUGGAAAUGUGUCUCGUUGGCACUCAUACCACAUCUUCCUUUAUCUACAUAUUUAUAUUUCAGACUUGACUCUACCUAUGGUACACGCCAGCAGCUGUAAAAGUAACCGUGCUAAGAAUGCAUGUGACUGGUUUUGCCACCGAAGUGGAUGUAAUGAUGCUACUUGUACAAAAUAUCGCUGUAGAUGUAAUAGCUGUAAGUAAAUUACUUCCUUAGAAUAUUUCAUAAUUCGUAUCUGAUGACUGUCAUACACAUAUUCUGAAGUAAAUACAAAUGUUAAGGAAGAAAAUGACAAUCUGAAAUAAUGCUAUAAAAGUGCAAAAUGUUUUUCUUUCAUAUCAAAUAAGAACUUAGUUUAUGAACGACUAAGCCUAGCUUCGAGCCUUGUAAAAAUUUUCAACCUCGCUUUAUUUUUCAAUUAUAGGUAACAAAAUUUAAAAUUUAGCACAAAAUUGAACUGUUUAAAUGUUAUCUUGAGACAGGGACGACUUUCGCGUGAUAGUUUUUAUCUUAAAAUAUACAAGGAAUUAGAAUUAUAAAGGUGUGAGAAAUGAUCGAAUGUCUUUUACAAAUCUGCUGGUGAUAAAUGAUUUCAUGAAAAAAAAUUAUACUGCCAUUUUUUUAAUAAAUUGUCAUGAGAUAAAAUAUCUUAUAAACAGGACAUAUCUGAUUUUUGUUUUUACUGAUUUACCUCAUAUUGAUUUUUUUAGUAUUGAGAACCUCGCCAUUUAGUGUCUCCUCCAUGUUUUGAUGGCUAUUAAAGUUGAAGCGGAUAAUGUCGAAAUAUGUUGAUACUUUAUUAACAUUUACAUGUAUAAAUCGAUGAUUAAGUUGACCUACUUCUUUUUUCGAUCACUUUAGCAUCCCUCCUCAUCAGAUUUUCUGAAUAUUUACUGCCAACCUUUUUCGUAUCUCCUGAAAUAAAAACAGUAUAGUUUGCUUUAAAAAAAAUCUGCCAAUGCUCGUCCAUUUGAACAAUACUUUUCCCUUCUUGUGAAUUCGUUUUGACAUUUCAAUUUUUAAUUCAUCUGAACAUUAUAAUCAAUUUAACCCUACUUCUUCUUCGUCUAACACAUUGUCUUAUUGAUUUAAAUAACGGAAAAAACAAUGCUUGCACGAAUAGGUACACACGAUCAUUUAACACAGAGCCGUAACUUGCCUCUUGAAAGUGAGGCAAAAUAUAUUCUAACCGAGCAAAGCGAUGCAAAAAAAAAAAAAUCUUAGACGGGUCAGGGUUGGGGUUAGGGUGGUCUUUAAGAGACAAAUGAAAACGCUUCAUGCAUCUCACAGAACAAACAAAAUAUUUGAAUAACGUAUGCAAAGCUUUACUUUUGUUUGUUAUCAAUCAUAAAAGAACAUGAGUUGUCUCAUUGGCACUCACACUACAUCUUCCUAUAUAUAUGGAAAGGUUUAUAAACUCAUAAAACUAUGAGUUAUUACCAAUAUAAAAAUAAAAGCAUGUGAUAUCAUUGCAACUGCGAAAUCGGCGUUCAAAUGAAGUGGGAACAAUAAAAAAUAGUCAGCAAGAAGAAAUAUUCAUACUUUGUAGUUGUCUAAAAAGGCCCAAACGUGAACAAUGAACAAAAAAUCAAACGAUUUGCGAAAAAUAAACUUAAACCAAAAACGAGUAAGGUUAUCUGAACCAUGUGUUUUUCUUUUUUGAGUAUAUGUUGAGUUCGGAGACGUCGGGCGUGGGCCUUUGGACAGAUAAGUUUUGCUGUUAUAAAAAUGUAUCAUAUAAUGCAUAUGAAUUAUUGAUGAUGAUACAUAUAAACAUUUUCACGUAAAUAUUUUAGGAAAUAAAUUAUUACCCAUAACACAAAAUAUGACAUUAUGAAGUAAAAUUAUUUUUUGAAAUUAUAAACAAAGUAUACGCUAUGCAACAUUUCAUAAUUAUCUAUUUAUAAUUGCAGGUUAUACCCCGUCACAUUGUCCUCCUUCAUUUCCGGGUCUCCCACGACCACCUGGCUGUUGAAAGUGUGAUCAAUGGAGAGCUGGCAACCUGAAAAUGUGACUUUAGAAAAUUGAAAUAAAUGUUAUAUCUACUAUUGUGUCAGAAUUUCAAAUUAUAAAGUCACAUUAUCGAAUAAAAAAUGCCAUCGAA
rnacentral:lncRNA from 1 species